AAUAAGUUUAUUUUUAGGUUUUAGAUACAAUAUUUGACUCUUCGUCUUAUUUGAAUUUUUUUGUGAUUAAUAUUUUUAUCGUUACUGGAUUAUAAAACAUGAAUAGUACUUUACGUUUGAUUAAUUUUUUAAAGCUUUUUUAAUAAAUUUUCAAAUAAGACGAAUAGUCAAACGUUAGACACUGAGAUC
rnacentral:pre_miRNA from 1 species